UCCGGUUUGUCACCGGCAGUCUCCCUAGAGUGCCCUUGCGUAGCAACUAGGGACAAGGGUUGCGCUCGUUGCGGGACUUAACCCAACAUCUCACGACACGAGCUGACGGCAGCCAUGCAGCACCUGGACCUAGGUUCCCUUGCGGGCACUCCCUCGUCUCUGAGGGAUUCCUAGUUUUUCUAGCCCGGGUAAGGUUCUGCGCGUUGCGUCGAAUUAAACCACAUGCUCCACCGCUUGUGCGGGCCCCCGUCAAUUCCUUUGAGUUUUAGCCUUGCGGCCGUACUCCCCAGGCGGGGCACUUAACGCGUUAGCUACGGCACCGCAGGGGUCAAUACCCGCGACGCCUAGCACCCAAAGUUUACGGCGUGGACUAC
rnacentral:misc_RNA from 1 species